UGGGGAAUAUUGGACAAUGGGGGAAACCCUGAUCCAGCAAUGCCGCGUGUGUGAAGAAGGCCUUCGGGUUGUAAAGCACUUUCAAUAGGGAGGAAAAGCUGUGCGUUAAUAGCGUAUAGCCGUGACGUUACCUAUAGAAGAAGCACCGGCUAACUCCGUGCCAGCAGCCGCGGUAAUACGGAGGGUGCAAGCGUUAAUCGGAAUUACUGGGCGUAAAGCGCGCGUAGGCGGUUUGCUAAGUCAGAUGUGAAAGCCCCGGGCUCAACCUGGGAAUGGCAUUUGAGACUGGUAGGCUAGAAUGUGGUAGAGGUGAGUGGAAUUCCAGGUGUAGCGGUGAAAUGCGUAGAGAUCUGGAGGAACAUCAGUGGCGAAGGCGACUCACUGGGCCAUUAUUGACGCUGAGGUGCGAAAGCGUGGGUAGCAAACAGGAUUAGAUACCCU
rnacentral:rRNA from 1 species